AUACGGAGGGGGCUAGCGUUGUUCGGAAUUACUGGGCGUAAAGCGCGCGUAGGCGGCUUAUCAAGUUAGGCGUGAAAGGCCUGGGCUCAACCCGGGAACUGCGCUUAAUACUGGUAGACUUGAGUCCGGGAGAGGGUGGCGGAAUUCCCAGUGUAGAGGUGAAAUUCGUAGAUAUUGGGAAGAACACCAGUGGCGAAGGCGGCCACCUGGCCCGGCACUGACGCUGAGGUGCGAAAGCGUGGGGAGCAAACAGGAUUAGAAACCCGGGUAGUCC
rnacentral:rRNA from 1 species